UACGAAGGGGGCUAGCGUUGCUCGGAAUUACUGGGCGUAAAGCGCACGUAGGCGGCUUCUUAAGUCGGUGGUGAAAUCCUGGAGCUCAACUCCAGAACUGCCUUCGAUACUGGCGAUCUUGAGUCCGGAAGAGGUGAGUGGAACUCCUAGUGUAGAGGUGGAAUUCGUAGAUAUUAGGAAGAACACCAGUGGCGAAGGCGGCUCACUGGAUCGGUACUGACGCUGAGGUGCGAAAGCGUGGGGAGCAAACAGG
rnacentral:rRNA from 1 species